rnacentral:misc_RNA from 1 species
GACGCUGUACCUAAGAAGCAACCAAAUCGUUAUCAUUAUUUACUGCAAUAUAAUAAAACCCAUUACUUUAUUAUUCAGUCACGGAAGCAGGUUCGACUACCUAUUCAACCAGCCUACUUUUUGUAUAGAUAACAAUUUUUUGCCAUUUCGCCCGUGGAGUGUGCAUAUUUUAGGCCGUUGGCUGUAUAGCUUCUUACUGUUCUAACUUCUUAAAUUAUUAAAUUGUUUCCACCAGGAAUUCAGAAAUUAAACGUUAUAUUUUAAUUGACACGAUAUCACGUUAAUAUCAUUUUCAUCAUUGUUCUCAAAUUUUAUUCAUUUGAUUAAUGCUCAUAAAUUCUAACGUUUAGUUUUGUUAUUGAUUAAACAAUUAAAUAAUGGCAGUAUCGGCAGCUGCUGCGUUACUCGACGAACUUAUGGGUAGAAAUCGGAACGAUGGUCCAAACGCUCAAAAGAAACCUGUGCAUUGGGAAGAUCCUGAGUUUUGUAAAUACUUUAUGGUUAAAUUUUGUCCUCAUGAUCUGUUUGUCAAUACUCGUGCUGAUCUUGGAGCUUGUCCAAAAGUUCACUGCGAAGAAGCUAAAACGCAAUAUAAUGAAGCUAGUAGCCGUUCUAAAAUGCAAUAUGAAGAUGAGUUUGUGGCAUUUGCUACUAGUUUAUUAAAUGAUGUCGAUCGUCGUAUUGAAAAAGGAAAACAAAGGUUGGAGCUUAUGAAUAAAACUGAAACGCCGGUGUCCCAUUCUAAUAGUCAAAGUCAGAAAAACCAAGAGCAAAUUAAAUUAUUGUCAGAAAAAAUUAAUGGGUUAGUGCAAGAAGCUGAACAAAUGGGUACACGUGGUCAUGUUGAAGAAGCUCAGGGACUUAUGAAGCUUUGUGACCAAUUAAAAGAAGAACGUGAUACUUUGAGAAAACAAAAUGAAAGCAUUCAUUGGUCACAAACGUAUGAACUAGCUGCUGCUCAAGAAAAACAAAUGGAAGUAUGUGAAGUUUGUGGAGCUUUUUUAAUUGUUGGUGAUGCUCAGUCCCGUAUUGAUGAUCAUUUAAUGGGAAAACAACACAUGGGUUAUGCUCGCUUAAAAAAUGCAGUUAAUGAAAUACAAGAGCAAAGAAAAAAAUAUGUAGAAGAAAGAGAAAAACAACGUGAAGAAGAAAGAAAAAAACGCAUGGAUCGAACUAGAAGUAACUCUAAAGACAUAGAUAGACAUAGUCGUGAUGCUAAUAUUGACAAGAGAUCUAAAAGCUCCAGAGACAGAUCUCAUCAUAAAAUUGAUAGAAAAUCUGAAAGACAUGAAAGAGAAAGACGAAGAAGUAGAAGCCGUAGUGAUCGCCGUUCUUCUAAUAGUCAUAGGCAUAGAGGGCAUAAUGGCAACAGUCGUAGAGAUCAUUAGAAUUUUUUUCAAGACAUGACGUUACAUUCUUAAUUCAGCAGAAGAAAACGGUCAUAAUGGGCGCUUUAUUUCAAAAAAGUGCUUACUCAUCAUUCGAAAGUGCAGAUCUUCAAAAAUUACAUGUGACUUUUUGUCAGGUUCAAAUAUCUGAGGCAGUGUAUUAUGUUAAAAUGUAUAAACACAAAAU